rnacentral:lncRNA from 1 species
UGAGAAAUCCUCGCAUUGCUCCCUACCUACUGGAGCUGCCUACAGGCACAAAGGAAAAUCGGAAAAUAUUCUUCCAUGACCGUAAUAUCCCUUCAGGAACAGAAGGUGGCAGACGAGUUUGCUUUGAGUGCCUGGCACAAGAAGCUGUGGUGUUACCCAAAACUUUACAAGCUUUUGAUUUCUCAGUGCACAGCAUCACGGCAGUGUGUCUGUACUGAACCCCACAACUAGACAAAAUCCCUCGGGUUUAGGGGUGAAAUCCCUCGAGUUUGGUCAUAUCUUUAGAGAGGGGAGCAAGUAGUGAGGCUAUAAAAGGUCUGCAGUGAGAAAUGAGGCACCUGGAAGGGGGUUUCUGCUCUGGCAGAAGCAGAAACCAGCAGCAGCAGCAGGCUGCCCUGCUGGGAGGGUGGAGGCAAUGGCUCAGAUGCAUGGCACGUGCACCACUGCGCUUGCAGAAUUACCACGGGGCUGAGCUGGCGAGACCAUAGAGUGCUUGCAAGCUGGCAGUUUGGCUCCAGAGCUGUUGUCUCUUAAAC